CCUCCUCAUUUUUAUCCUUCUUCUUCUUCUUCCCCUUCAUCCCUGUGUGGAAGUUCCCAGAGUUCCCUGCUCCGGCUACAAACCAAUGGUCCCGGGUGCUUGGGAGGUGGGAGUGAGAGCGGCUCAGUAAGGGACGGGAGACAAUUCCUCACAUAUCUCUGUACCGCACAAAUAUCUCU